rnacentral:rRNA from 1 species
GACGAACGCUGGCGGCGUGCUUAACACAUGCAAGUCGAACGAAGUGUCGAACGGGUGAGUAACGCGUCAUCUACCUGCCCUUCAGAGGGGGCCAACAGUUGGAAACGACUGCUAAUACCGCAUACUGAAGGAGGUGAUUGCGUCUGAUUCGCUAGUUGGAGGGGUAACGGCCCUCCAAGGCGAUGAUCAGUAGCCGGUCAGAGAGGAUGAAAGGCCACAUAGGGACUGAGACACGGCCCAGACUCCUACGGGAGGCAGCAGUGGGGAAUCUUCCGCAAUGGACGAAAGUCUGACGGAGCAACGCCGCGUGAGUGAUGACGGCCUUAGGGUUGUAAAGCGCUGUUAAUCGGGACGCGGUACCGGAAUAGAAAGCCACGGCUAACUACGUGCCAGCAGCCGCGGUAAUAC